UACGGAGGGUGCGAGCGUUGUCCGGAAUCACUGGGCGUAAAGGGCGCGUAGGCGGCCUGAUAAGUAGGGGGUGAAAUCUUGCGGCUUAACCGCAAGGCUGCCUUCUAAACUGUCAGGCUCGAGCACAGUAGAGGCAGGUGGAAUUCCCGGUGUAGCGGUGAAAUGCGUAGAGAUCGGGAGGAACACCCGUGGCGAAGGCGGCUCACUGGGCCGGUCCUGACGCUGAGACGCGAAGGCGUGGGGAGCGAACGGG
rnacentral:rRNA from 1 species